UACGUAGGUGGCAAGCGUUGUCCGGAUUUACUGGGCGUAAAGAGCGCGCAGGCGGUUGGAUAAGUCGAAUGUGAAAGCCCCCGGCUUAACUGGGGAGGGUCAUUCGAUACUGCUCAACUUGAAGGCAGGAGAGGGAAGCAGAAUUCCUGGUGUAGUGGUGAAAUGCGUAGAUAUCGGGAGGAACAUCAGUGGCGAAGGCGGCCAUCUGGGACAACACUGACGCUGAAGCACGAAAGCGUGGGGAGCAAACAGG
rnacentral:rRNA from 1 species